CAAUACAUAUUAUUAAGUUAUAUAAUAAUGAUACUACACAAAUAUAUUUUUGCCUACUUAUUCUAUUUGCCACUGCAAAUGUUUAACUACAAUUUUAAAACCUAGUACACCAACAUAAUAAACCUCGAUACUUAUUAUAUCUUAAUUAGUUCAGCUACAGGGAUAAUUCGUCGACACACCUGGCCAGUUUUAUUGAAAUUAAGGUAUCAAUCGUUUCGACUAUAGAUUAUGGUCCUCCUGAAGUGAAUAGAAAGAAUAUUAUAUAGAUCUUACAGAAUAUUCAAAGGUGAUGACACUUUUGUUGGCAUAACCUCUGAAUAUUUUGUAAGAACCAUGUAAUAUUCUUUCUGUUCACUUGAGAAGGACCAAAUUUAUGGUCGAAACGUUAUGAUAUCUUAAUUUAAUUAUAAUUUAUAUCAGAUUAUAAAUACCUCACAUAACUUUGAAUUCUCUUUUGGCUGUACACCACAUUGUUUAGUUCAAAUGUUCUUACGUUGUAUAUCUUUCGAAAAUCUAAAAAGGCGGAAUCCCUGUUCUGAACGAUUUUGACACUUCUUUGCACAACAGCUUAUCAUAUUUAAUAUCUGUUUGCACUAACUGUAGUGCAUACUACAUUACAGUCAAUUAAAGUGAGAAACAAAAUAUAUCUGUCUCACUCCGUCGACCCAAAAUGGCGGCCGUGCGAAGACCUUCCCUAAUGUGCGUCGUUUGCUCAUCUACGGACCUUGAUGGAAAGCACCCAAUAUAAAGUCCUGUAGAGCGGACUUUCUUUCUAUCUAUACUUCAUUUGUGGAAAAGGAGUUUUUAUUCUGCACGAGCAAUAAAGAGAAUUUUCGAAACUGCAAUUACCAUCGCUAUAGUGACAGAUCAGCUGUAAUUUUCGGUCGGUACUGUUGUAGAAAUUCCAAACUCGGAAUUGCAUUCUGAAACGGAAACAUGCAUUCCAGAAGAAACUAAAUCAUUUGAAAGUAAAGAUAUUACGAAAAUUAUGAAAGAAGCAGAGGAACGUUUUCGAAAAAAUGCACUGUUUUUUGUAAAUGAUGAAACUUUCGAAUAUUUUUACCGUAUGGAAUUAAUAAUGCGAAAAUACUUACCAUAUUGUAAAAAUACUGCAUGCAAUUUUUUGCGUUUUUAUUUAAAUAAAAUGAAAGACAUAACUUGUACUAUAAAAGAUUGCCAUAAUUUGCCUCUUAAAAUUAAGAAGCGUUUUAUUUUAUAUCGAAUGCGUAUAUCCUGUAAGCGAAGAGAAUUGCACAGUCAACAGUACAGCAGCAAAACGAUGGCAAUGCAUCAUGCUGUUAGAUAAUAUUAGCGCUUUAUAUAAAAAGUUAUAAAUAAUUUUAUUAUUAUAUAGCAUUUUAAGUAUAAGAAAUAUAAUAUAUGUCAGCGUUUUUAUACUAUUUAUAAUAAUAAAUUGAAUGCUUUCAUCCAGAAGCAUGCGUACAGAAGCAUUCAAAUUUAAUAAUAAAAAGUUUUCGGAAUAA